CUCCCCUUGGUGUAGUUGGUUUAUCACGUUCGACUGUAAAUCGAAAGGUCUCUAGUUCGAUUCUGGAAGGGGAGA
rnacentral:tRNA from 2 species